rnacentral:lncRNA from 1 species
CCCCAAAUUCCAUCUCUGUGCCCCAAUUUCUCCCAGUCUCACCCCAAAUCCCAUUCACAUGCCUCAGUUUCCCCAAAUUUCACCCCCCAUCCUCACUCUGUGCCUCAGUUUCCCCAAACCCAAUCCCAAAUCCCACUCCCGUGCUUCAGUUUCCCCCAAUCUGACCCCAAAUCCCAUUCCUGUGCCUCAGUGUCCCCAAAUCUGACCCCAAAUCCCAUUCCUGAGCCCCAAUUUCCCCCAAUCUUACCCCAAAUCCCAUCUCUGUGCCCCAAUUUCUCCCAGUCUCACCCCAUAUCCCACCCCCGUGCCUCAGUUUCCCCAAAUCUGACCCCAAAUUCCAUCUCUGUGCCUGUUUCUCCCAGUCUCACCCCAUAUCCCAUUCACGUGCCUCAGUUUCCCCCAGUCUCACCCCAAAUCCCACCCCCGUGCCUCAGUUUCCCCAAAUUUCCCCCCUCUGUGCCUCAUUUCCCCCCAUUCUCACCCCAAAUCCCCCCUCUGGGCUUCAGUUUCCCCAAACCCAAUCCCAAAACCCAUUCCUGUGCCUGUGUCCCCCAAUCUGACCCCAAAUCCCAUUCCUGAGCCCCAAUUUGCCCCAAUCUGACCCCAAAUCCCAUCUCUGUGCCCAAUUUCUCCCAGUCUCACCCCAAAUCCCACUCCCGUGCCUCAGUUUCCCCAAAUCUGACCCCAAAUUCCAUCUCUGUGCCUCUGUUUUUCCCCAGUUUCACCCCAAAUCCCAUUCCUGAGCCCCAGUUUGCCCCAAUCUUACCCUAAAUCCCAUCUCUGCAACCCAGUUUCUCCCAGUCUCACCCCAAAUCCCAUUCACGUGCCCCAGUUUCCCCCAAUCCAACCCCAAAUCCCCUCUCUGUGCCUCAGUUUCCCCAAAUCCCACUCCUGCGGCCCAACGUCCCUCAGUCUCACCCCAAAUCCCACUCCUGUGCCUAAAUUACCCCCAAUUUCACCCCAAAUCCCAUUUGUGAGCCCCAGUUUCCCCAAUCUUGACCCCAAAUCCCACUCCCGUGCCUCAGUUUCCCCCUAUCUGACCCCAUAUCCCAUUCCUGAGCCCCAGUUUCCCCAAUCCUGACCCCAAAUCCCCCUCCUGUUUCUCAAUUUCUCCCAGUCUCACUCAAAAUCCCAUUCUCACGCCCCAGUUUCCCCCCAUCCA